AGCGGGGGAAGGCUGCAGCCUAUCGACUGGAAGGAAUCGCGCCGGAAACCCUGGCUCUCCUAGUUCAAGCCGCCGAGGAGCGCACUCAUGUCACAUGGGGAGCUUUGAAGUUGCCUCAACUUAAAAUGCAGUCCCUUCAGGGCCAGAAGCGUGGCUCAGUCCCGACCCUACUUUAUUCUGCCUUAAGUCAAACCACAGGCAUCGUUGCCAGCGGUUUACCUUGGCACCUGCGCCACCCCGAUCUCCGUCAUCAAGUAAUAUUUAUGUCGCACGACCGCUGUACCCGGUGACUCAACACCUUGAACGCCACGGCCCUAGACUCGGACCAGGUGAAGACUUGUCGCCGGGGGCACUUUCGAGCGGGGAGAAACUUCUGCUACGGGAGGCUGGGAGAGUACCUCGUGAGGCAGAUAAAGCUCCGUGCUCCCUACAGUCUUUUUUGGUCACGCCUCCAGACUGCAUACGCGGGCAGCUGCAGUUGGCUCAGUUGUGGCAUUUCGAAAUCACAUGCAUCCUUUGUACGGCUGCUCACUUGAUGUGUUGUCACAGAUAAUGAAAGCAGAAAUCUGACUCCCUGGCCUGAUCAUUACACUUGUGGUCAGAAUCCUAGCACAUGAACUGGCACUGCUGCUGGGAACUGUGAGUCAUUCCUUUCAAGUUGUUCCUGGUGUUGAAGCGAGUCUCCGCAGAGGACGAACAAUCUGUCAGUGACUUCAUCAUAUGGCAAGGAGUCUGGAGACAGCUUGGCUCCUGGAAGGGUUCAACCUUGUCAUUAAGGACCAAAGUUCUUUUCAUUUCUUCAUGCUCCCAUUCUUCUUGGUGUGGUGGCUUAUUUCUCAAGCUCUAUCCUUCAUUUUGGCAAAAUUGCUGCUGCAGAUCCUGACAUCACAUGAAGAACUGAGAAGAGGUUAUUUCCUUCUGUGAACCACCAUACCUUUCUCCAAAAUUCCCAGCAGAAUUAGCCCCAUUGACCCCAAUUGUCUCUCGUGCCCAGGCAUAAGUCACUCAAACAAGACUGAUUUUUCUGGGACCGAAGAGGGGUCUGUCCUCCCUUGGAUAAUGUGUUGAAGGAUAAAAAAAUCUGGGAUUUUGUUAGCAAGGGAAAAGCAAUGUAAGGCAAACAAAAUUCGCAUUGCACAUUUUAUUUUCAGAGAAAUUAUACUCAAAAUAAAAAUUCAAUAUGAAAUAAGUACAAAAUCUUCACCACCCACAAAUAUAGGUAUGACAUUUAGUAUCUGAUCUACAAUCCAUUUAUUCUUUAUUCUUUCAACAAAUAUUCUUCAACCACUUGCUACCUGUCAGCCUCAGUUUUGGUACUAAAGUUAGAGAGAUGAACAAGUUAGACAUUUGUCUGUAUUAGGAAUGCUUCCAGCAGCAAGUAACAUAAUAGACAGUUCAGAAACUUAACCCAUAGAGACAUGUAAUGUUUACCUAACAGAAAUUGAGGACAGGCGGUCUGUAAGCCAACCCCCGUUAAAAUGUUUCCAAGGAUACAGGUUCUUUCUUCUCUGUGUCCUUAGCAUGCUGGCUUUUAUCUUUAUUCUUGUCACCUCAUUGCUCCAUGGUUGCCAUAGCUCCAAACAUCUCAUCUGAUUUCAAAUCAGAAAGAAGUGGUAAAGGGAGUUCUUUUCUUAUUGUCAUUUUUAUAAGCACUGAAAAGCCCUCAGAAGCCUCCUAGCAGAUUUCCAGGAAAUCUCAUUGGCAGAACCAUGCCAUGCUCAACAGCAAAGGAGUCUGGAAUAGUAAUUAUCUCACAAAGUGCUGGCGGCUGUAUGCAUCAUUGACCCCAAUAAAAUUGAGAUUCUGUGUAUAAGGACAGACAUGGAUGAUGAUUAGUCUAUUACAGUGUCUUUCAUAGUCUCCUUCUUCAUGGAGUUAGUUCUCUGGCCAUUUUGUGGAAAGGUAGAGAUAAUACAUAUUUUUUAUACUCUAGUCUUCGAAAUUAUAUCUGAGGAAUUUACAUAGUGUUUUUUGUAUAGGAUAAUCUUGGGCACAUUCAGAUAGACAUGCUAUUCCCUAUAUAAGCUUGACAAGAACUGGGGGUUGCGAUCUGUAGGGCUUCACUUGGUUUCAUCUCGUGGCUCUAAGAUGUUACAGAGAGGGACAGAAAUGUAGAACCAGACACUUGUGUUAAAUAUUAGUGGACAGUGAUUCCUGGGGUAAAAAGUGCCGUGAGCAGAGCAUUCACUGGUUUCCAUGUAGAACCACGCACAUCUUAUGCCAUCAUCAGCUUAUUUGGCUGCUUCACUAGAUAAUGAGCUCCUUGAGGAAAGAAACUUUUAUUUAUUUCUGGAUUCCCAGCCCUGCGGAUGGUGUCUGGCACCUAGUAGGUACUGAGUGAAGGUUGGAGGUUAGAGCUUAUCUUUCAGAAAGCAAAACGUGGGGAGCAAAGUUCGACCAGUGCAUAUGAAGGAGCUAAAACGUCAAGUGUUUAGAAAACUAAUUUAAAAAAUGAAAAACAGGCAAAUGAUAGAAACAGGUUAGGUGGCAACUAGAACUUAGGAGGAGUAAUUUCUCUCCUUUAUUUGUUUAGUUUUUUUCUUUCUCUCUGGGAGGAGCGGUGGAGGUCACGUGGUGUUUGUGCAAAUCGCCUGGGUCUACAUGGCACCGAAGUGGGGCUAAAGUGUGAAUGAGGUGGAACACUCAGAAACAGCCUGUCAAAACAAGCACGAUUCAAAGCAGCUGCCCUGUAUAGUGUGUCAUUUUUACAGCAAUAAAAGCAGUAAUGACGGACUUUAUAUUGCAGUCACAAGCUACCAUUACUGUGUUAGAUAAGUGAAUUCAUGCAGGUCUUCUAGAAGUCCAAGGGCGUGUUGCUGUUCUUUCUUUCUUUAAAACAUUCAAAAAUAAGAUUUCUCCAAUGGUGCUUUUUAGUGUUUGCUGUAUGAGACUGUUAUUGCAGUACAAAUUUACAUUUUAUUGGGGAUAUUGCUCCAUGAUAAUUCUCACAAUACUCCUCUUUGGAAACGUCAGUAAAACUUUCCUUAAAGAGCAAGCCUUUGUGUUCACCUUCCAUGCAAGGCAUACAUCGGCGUAAGAAGGAGGGGAGGACCUUGCAUUGAACUGGGCCCUGUCCCGGGUCCAAGACUAACUACUAAUCCUGGACCUUAGCCAAGGCAUUAGCCUAUCUGCUCUUUGGUUUCUACAACUGUGAAAGAGACCUGUUGUGAGAAGAUGAUCUCAUGACUUUUUUCUAGCUCUAAAAUUUUAUGAUUAUAACACAUUACAUGCCUGCCUUUACAGGAACCGAAGAGGGUUAAGGAUUAACACAGUCCUUCCCCUACACGUUAGGUUUAUCACCUCAUCUUUUGUAAUAUUAACUUAAAAAUUAUUAUAUUGUACAUUUAAGCAAAUAUGGCAGCUAUAUAAAAUAAUAAGAAAACUAAAUACAAUUAACAUUUGGUAUGUUUAUUUUAAGGUCCAUUUCUACAAAUACCCGAUGUGCAUAUGCGUAACUGGAAUCAUACUGUAUACAGAAUUGUGUGCCUGCCUUUUUUUCCGCUGAAUUUUAUAUUGUGAACAUUUUCCCAUCCCAUUACAAAUAUCCUUCAAAAAAACAGUAGUUUUCUUAAAAAAAUGUUUUAUAUUGCUACAUAUAACACAGAUAAGAAAUCUGUAUAAAUGAAUUGUUAUAAGGUAAGCAUGGUUAUAGCUGUCACCUCUCUCAGCCACCCCAGAAACUCUUCUAACAGAACCCUCCCCCUCCCUGCUGAAAUUCAUUGCCCUAAUGACUUCUAUGGUAACAAUUACCUUAUUUUUAUUUAUAUUUUUACCACUGAGUGUAUAUCCCUAAAUGCUAUCAUUUAGUGUUGCCUAAAGGUAUAAUUUUUAGUGAAUAUUUAUUAUUCCAUCAUAUAAGGAUGCAUCAAUACAUGCACAUACAGCUUAUUGGACUAUUUACUUCCUUUUCUGACAGCUGAUUGUUUCAUUUAUAUUUUUUGAAUUGGUAUCUAUUCACAUAAUGCAAAAUCUUAAAGGCUCAAAGGAAUGCAGUGAAGAGGCUCCCUCUCACUUCCGUCCUCCAGCAAUCUGGCUUUCUCUAGGACUAGUUGUCAGGAAGUUGUUUUUGAGGAAAAAGGAGCCUAAGAAUGGUAUUGAUAUUUUUUUCAGUUUUAAUGUCCAAAAUGAAUCUAAGUAGGUACGAAAAAUAUAAUUCUACUAAAGCAUGAAAAAUCCCUGUAAUUGAUUCUUUCAUAUGAAAUUAACAGUUUCUGGAGUGGAUAUGUAGUUUCACUUUUAGGUUAAAUGCGUAACAUUGAAUGUUGUGUGAAUUGGAAGUGAUAUAACCACAGAAGGAAGUCUAGGAUCAAAUUAGAUGUAGAGUGUUGUGGUGUUUUACUUUGCUUUAUUGUAGAGGUGAGAGACCCAAGCGGCUUUGUCUCUUUGGCACAAUGGGAAACUUGGUUUCUUAUGUUUUGCUCUAGCAGAUCAAUAAAUACUGUCAUCAUGCUAAUUAUGUUAAUGCAAAAAUAUGUAAUUCAGAAUGAAGGAGCUAACUACUGCAUAACUACCUAAUCUGCCUGACCAGUACACAAUUUUUAUGCAUUAGGGUUUUUUGGUUGCAAGAAAUAAAAGCAGACUGCUUAACUUAAAUAAAAAGAAUUUCCUGGAACGAUUCAGG